CAAUAGCGUAUAUUAAAGUUGCUGCAGUUAAAAAGCUCGUAGUUGCAUUUCCGAGGCAAGGGAUUAGUCCGACCUUUGGUGGGUAUUUAACCCUCUUGCCUCGUCCUUGAGUGGUGCUUCUUGGUAUUAAGUUAUCGAGGAGAUAGCCGCUCAUCGUUUACUGUGAGAAAAUUAGAGUGUUCAAAGCAGGCUUAUGCCGUUGAAUAUAUUAGCAUGGAAUAAUAAGAUAGGACCUCGGUACUAUUUUGUUGGUUUGAGAACCAAGGUAAUGAUGAAUAGGGACAGUUGGGGGUAUUCGUAUUCAGUUGUCAGAGGUGAAAUUCUUAGAUUUACGGAAGACGAACUACUGCGAAAGCAUUUACCAAGGAUGUUUUCAUUAA
rnacentral:rRNA from 1 species